GGAAUGGAGCGUCACAGAGGGUGAGAAUCCCGUCUUUGACAUGGACUGCCAGUGUGUUGUGGUGUGCUCUCAAAGAGUCGAGUUGUUUGGGAAUGCAGCUCUAAAUGGGUGGUAAACUCCAUCUAAAGCUAAAUAUUGGCGAGAGACCGAUAGCGAACAAGUACCGUGAGGGAAAGAUGAAAAGGACUUUGGAAAGAGAGUUAAACAGUAUGUGAAAUUGUUGAAAGGGAAACGCUUGAAGUCAGUUAUGUUGGCUAGGGAUCAACCUAGCUGUCUUUUGCUGGGUGAAUUUCCUAGUCUGACAGGCCAACAUCAGUCUUGACUGCUGGAAAAGAGCAGAGGGAAUGUGGCACCUUCGGGUGUGUUAUAGCCCUUUGUCAUAUGUGGCGGUUGGGACUGAGGGAUGCAGCGUGCCGCGAGGCUGGGUUUCGACCACGUUCACGCUUAGGAUGUUGGCUUUUAAUGGCUUCAAUCGACCCGUCUUGAAACACGGACCAAGGAGUCUAACAUGCCUGCAAGUGUUUGGGUGGAAAACCCUUGCGCACAAUGAAAGUGAAAGUUGAGAUCCCUGUCAUGGGGAGCAUCGACGCCCGG
rnacentral:rRNA from 1 species